rnacentral:lncRNA from 10 species
ACUGGCAACUCUUGAGAAUCUCAUAAUUUUCCAUAAAAUCUAUAAAUAAGUAUUCCUCUUUCAAAAGGAGUACAGGGCCCCCUCUGCUGGGAUCCAGGAACAAGCUAGCAAGGCCUCCAGACAGGGGAUUUCCACUGAUCCUUUGUCACUACUGAGCCCAAAAGUGCACGGGCAGCAAGUUACCAAAUCGCCUUCCACAAGGUCUACAAACCCAUCUGGGACACAUGGCAGGGACCAACACGCUUCUAGACUUCCCAUGUUCCAAGUCCACUUCUGCCGGCAGAAUAGAAACCUCGUCAGUUAUCACAACUCAGUAUCCUUCUAAUUAAAAUAUCUGACCAUGUCCCCAUCAGCCACUUGCCUCAUUUGGGACACCACCAACCAUCCUGCACGGCUGCCCAUGUUUCUGUUUCUCCAGCCCAAGCAUGCAGUUUCAGUAGGUCCUUCAGAGGCUGCCUGAAAGCAUCCCGCCUCCAGAGCCCUGUGGGUUGAAGACCGCUGUGCUCUUUUCUUUCGGCUUCACACGCUGGUUAGUCUUCUGUUUGCUUUGUCAGCACGGUACUUUUCAUUUCCUUCGUGGUGUUUUUAGGAGCUCCUGAAUUUCACAGACAAAUCCAGACCCCUGUGUGGAAAGCCUGCGGUGGUGUUCUCCGUCUUCCCACAGGACUCCCUGCAGCCAGGAAUUCUAGGGGAGCACCUGACGCGAGGUAUACGCCCAGAUGGCCUGAAGUAACUGAAGAAUCACAAAAGAAGUGAAAAUGUCCUGCCCCGCCUUAACUGAUGACAUUCCACCACAAAGGAAGUGUCAAUGGCUGGUCCUUGCCUUAACUGAUGACAUUCCACCGCAAAAGAAGUGAAAAUGGCCGGUCCUUGCCUUAACUGAUGACAUUACACCACAAAAGAAGUGAAAAUGGCCGGUCCUUGCCUUAAGUGAUGGCAUUACCUUGUGAAAGUCCUUUUCCUGGCUCAUUCUGGCUCAAAAUCACCCCCACUGAGCACCUUGUGACCCCCACUCCUGCCCGCCAGGGAACAAUCCCCCUUUGACUGUAAUUUUCCUUUACCUACCCAAAUCUUAUAAAAUGGCCCCACCCCUAUCUCCCUUUGCUGACUCUCUUUUUGGACUCAGCCUGCCUGCAUCCAGGUGAUUAAAAGCUUUUAUUGCUCACACA